rnacentral:rRNA from 1 species
AUCGAAUGUAAGUUUUCGGAUGGUAGUUUUUGGUUAAUUCUAGCGGCGGACGGGUGAGUAACGCGUGAGUAACCUGCCUAUCACGUGGGGAAAUAACGCACCGAAAGGUGUGCUAAAUACCCGCAUGAGACCACAGGAGGGACACUCCCACAGGGGUCAAAAGAUUCAUCGGUGAUAGAUGGGCUCGCGUCUGAUUAGCUAGUUGGUGGGGUAACGGCCCACCAAGGCGACGAUCAGUAGCCGGACUGAGAGGUUGACCGGCCACAUUGGGACUGAGAUACGGCCCAGACUCCUACGGGAGGCAGCAGUGGGGAAUAUUGGGCAAUGGACGCAAGUCUGACCCAGCAACGCCGCGUGAAGGAAGAAGGCCCUCGGGUUGUUAAACUUUUUGAUCGGGGACGAAUAAUGACGGUACCCGAAAAACAAGUCACGGCUAACUACGUG